rnacentral:rRNA from 1 species
GAUGAACGCUAGCUACAGGCUUAACACAUGCAAGUCGAACGACCGGCGCACGGGUGAGUUACAUGUAUCCAACCUGCCCAUUACUCGGGGAUAGCCUUUCGAUAGCUAGAUUCAUAUCCGAUAUAAUGGAUGGGGAUGCGUUACAUUAGGUUGUUGGUGAGGUAACAGCUAACCAAGCAUUCGAUGGAUAGGGGUGGUGAGAGGAAGGUCACCCGCAGUGGAACUACGACACGGUCCAAACUCGUAGGGGAGGGAGGAGUGAGGAAUAUUGGGCAAGUGAGGCUAGCCUUAACCAGCCAAUUAGCGGGAAGGAUGAAGGCUUAUGGGUCGAAAACUUCUGUUAUAUAAGAAUAGGUAUUAUAUGAAGAAGGAUCGGCUAACUCCGUGCCAGCAGCCGCGGUAAUAC